AACGCAUAUUGCGCUCUCUGGUACUCCGGAGAGCAUGCCUGUUUGAGGGUAAUUAACAGAAUCUUUAACCUUUCUUGGUUAAAGGAUAUGGGCAUUCCGCGAUUAGUGGUGGCCUAAAAUAUAUGGUCAGUCUCAUUGAGUUGAGAUGCGUAAUAAUUAUUAUUUCGCAAAAACAUUUUGAUGAGCUACCAAGUUUUGAUUCAUUCAACUAUGUUGGGUGCGGUUAAAACAAAUAUUUUUGACAUUACCUCAAAUCAGGUAGGAAUACCCGCUGAACUUAA
rnacentral:misc_RNA from 1 species